UUAAAAGAAGUUUUAAAAACAUUAACUUUGGGAGUUAAAAAAUGAAAUCUGGAAUUUCACUUUUAAA
rnacentral:tRNA from 1 species